rnacentral:rRNA from 1 species
UACGGGGGGAGCAAGCGUUGUUCGGAUUUACUGGGCGUAAAGGGCGCGUAGGCGGCCACCGCAAGUCGACUGUGAGAUCUCCGGGCUUAACCCGGAAAGGUCAGCCGAUACUGCGGGGCUAGAGUGCAGAAGGGGCAACUGGAAUUCUCGGUGUAGCGGUGAAAUGCGUAGAUAUCGAGAGGAACACCUGCGGCGAAGGCGGGUUGCUGGGCUGACACUGACGCUGAGGCGCGAAAGCUAGGGGAGCGAACGGG